rnacentral:lncRNA from 10 species
UUCACCCUUAGCUGCAAGUACCGCUUUUCUAGGGGGCAAGAACCCCCCAACCCCUUCUCCUUCACCCUUAGCCACAAGUACCGCUUUUCUAGGGAGCAAGAACCCCCCAACCCCUUCUCUGCAUGUCUCUACCCCUUCUCUGCUUUUCUGGGGACAAGAACCCCCUGAUCCCUUAUUUCCAUGACUCGACCCCUUAUCUCUGUGCCCCAAUCCCUUAUUUCUGCACCCCAACCUCUUAUCUCUGUGCCCCGAUCCCUUAUUUCCAUGCCCCAACCUCUUAUCUCUGUGCCCUGAUCCCUUAUUUCCAUGCUCCGACCUCUUAUCUCUGCACCCCAACCCUUUAUUUCCGCACCCCGACCACUUUCCUGCUUUUCUGGAGGGUAAGAACCCCCAAACCCCUUCCCUCCGUGUCUCUCUCUUUUCUCUAGGCUUGCCUCCUUCAUUAUGGGCAACCUUCCACCCUCCAUUCCUCCUUCUUCUCCCUUAGCCUGUGUUCUUAAAAACCUAAAACCUCUUCAACUCACACCUGACCUAAAACCUAAAUGCCUUAUUUUCUUCUACAAUGCCGCUUGACCCCAAUACAAACUUGACAGCCGUUCCAAAUAGCCAGAAAAUGGCACUUUCAUUUUUUCCAUCCUACAAGAUCUAAAUAAUUCUUGUCGUAAAAUAGGCAAAUGGUCCGAGGUGCCUGACGUCCAGGCAUUCUUUUACACAUCAGUCCCUCCCUGGUCUCUGUUCCCAAUGCAACUCGUCCCAAAUCUUCCUUCUUUCCCUCCCACAUGUCCCCUCAGUCCCAACCCCAAGCGUCACUGAGUCUUUCUAAUCUUCCUUUUCUACUGACCCAUCUGACCUCUCCCUUCCUCGCAAGGCCGAGCUAGGUCAUAAUUCUUCCUCAGCCUCUGCUCCUCCACCCUAUAAUCCUUUUAUCACCUCCCCUCCUCACACCCGGUCUGGCUUACAGUUUCGUUCUGUGACUAGCCCUCCCCCACCUGCCCAGCAAUUUCCUCUUAAAAAGGUGGCUAGAGCUAAAGGCAUAGUCAAGGUUAAUGCUCCUUUUUUUAAUCCCAAAUCAGAGAGCGUUUAGGCUCUUUUUCAUCAAAUAUAAAAACCCAGCCCAGUACAUGACUCGUUUGACAGCAACCCUGAGACACUUUACAGCCCUAGACCCUAAAAGGUCAAAAGGUCGUCUUAUUCUCAAAAUACGUUUUAUUACCCAAUCUGCUCCUGACAUUAAAUAAAACUCCAAAAAUUAAAUUCCAGCCCUCAAACCCCACAACAGGACUUAAUUAACCUCACCUUCGAGGUGUACAAUAAUAGACUAGAGGCAGCCAAAUAGCAACAUAUUUCUCAGUUGCAAUUCUUUGCCUCCACUGUGAGACAAACCCCAGCCACAUCUCCAGCACACAAGAACUUCCAAACGCCUGAACCGCAGUGGCCAGGCGUUCCUCCAGGCCCGCCUCUCCCAGGAGCUUGCUACAAGUGCCAGAAAUCUGGCAACCAGGCCAAGGAAUGCCCACAGCCCAAGAUUCCUCCUAAGCCACGUCCCAUCUGUGCAGGACCCCACUGAAAAUCGGACUGUUCAACUCACCUGGCAGCCACUCCCAGAGCCCCUGGAACUCUGGCCCAAGGCGCUCUGACUGACUCCUUCCCAGAUCUUCUCAGCUUAGCAGCUGAAGACUGACGCUGCCCGAUCGCCUCAGAAGCCCCCUAGACCAUCACGGACGCCGAGCUUCAGGUGACUCUCACAGUGGAAGAAGACAGGAAUGUCAUGCCUCUGAGCCCAAGCUAAGCCAUCAUAUCCCAUGUGACCUGCACGUACACAUCCAGAUGACUGGUUCCUGCCUUAACUGAUGACAUUCCACCACAAAAGAAAUGAAAAUGGCCUGUUCCUGCCUUAACUGAUGACAUUAUCUUCUGAAAUUCCUUCUCCUGGCUCAUCCUGACUCAAAAGCUCCCCUACUGAGCAUCUUGUGACCUCCACUCCUGCCCGCCAGAGAACAACCCCCCUUUGACUGUAAUUUUCCUUUACCUACCCAAAUCUUAUAAAAAGGCCCCACCCCUAUCUCCCUUCACUGACUCUCUUUUCAGACUCAGCCCGCCUGCACCCAGGUGAAAUAAACAGCUUUACUGCUCACACAAAGCCUGUUUGGUGGUCUCUUCUCACGGACGCGCAUGAAAAGUUUCCCUUGUUGUCUUGGAAUAAUACUCUAAAAACCCCUUCUUAAAGAUAGUCUGUGUUUUUCAGCUCUCAGUUGUACAGUGUGCCGGAGACUUUCAUACCCAGAGUACAAUUACAGGUGGGGAAAUAAAUGGUUAUCUUUACUAAAAUGAGAAGGGAGAGUGUGAAAGGUAAGAUUUAAACAAACAUCCACUUAAAAUCAUGGAUUCCUCCUCAAGAAGCUCAAAUUUGAAGAGUAUCUGAAAUAAAUGUAAGACCUAGAAAUUGAUUUAUAUGCUCUCAGUUUUGAAUUCCAGUUUUCAUUUUAUAUUUGGGAAGUUUCAGGUAGACAGGAAGUGGAAGCAGAGCCUCUAGUGUUUGUGGGGAGAAAAUAAAGCUAUUGAAGAGAUAAAGCUACAGUACUUCAUUUUUCCUCCCCCAGGCGGGAGAGGGAGGGCUUCAGAGACACUGGGAUUUGUACUGGAGGGAAGAAAAUUUAGGGGCAAGUUACAUCAUCUCUUGGGAAUACGGGGAUUGGGGGACACAUCGGAAUCUCUGGGAGCCUUUAGGAAAAACAUUGCAUGUCCUCACUUGCUCCAGGUGAUGGGAACAAGUGCUCAGCAGCAGCAGGAGGUAUCUGGAGGAGUAACUUGGUGCAGGGCUCCUGGCAACCAACUAGAGUAGACACUCUGCAAGAGAGAUCAGAGGGGACAUGAAGACCUUCCCCUACUGUCACAGAAACCAAAUAUCCUCUCCUCCCAUGCAUGCAACACCAACCCAAAAGAAACUAAAGACAGGACUCAAUUUAUAAGCCUGAACUGAGAUUAAUAGAUUGAGCUAAAUGUUUUUCUCCUCUUCUCCUCACCUCUCUCACACACACUGUGUGUGGGUGUGUUUGUGUGUGUGCUGUGGGAGGGGACACCCAAGAGGCAAUCAGAUCAUUCCAGGUAGAAAGAAAAAAAAUGAACUCUAUUUCCUCUGUACAUUUAAAUGUAAUGAAUAUAUUUGCAAUUCUAAUAUGUACUUUUAUUUUAAUCAUAUAAACUGUGUCUAGUUUUUUUUCUUUUAUUUAAGCUGUUCCCUCAAAUCCUUGUCUUUUUAAGAAAAAAGUCUCUUACUAUUUGCAAAUACUUUCAAAUACUAUUUGGGCACCUAAUGAAUGUGCAACAUUGUGCGAGAUGUUAACAAAUCUCCACGUGGGUUCCUAGCCUGGAGUGGAGGCCUGACUUAACUUCUGCUUCUGCUUAAACACACACACACACACACACACACACAAUAUAGCUUGACUCUGUAAUCUCAAAUUGGGCAUCUAGGGUGUGCCUUCUGGUAGAAACAGUGGAUGGUCAUAAUUCCUGUCAUUAAUUUCCAAUACCCCCGCCACACCCCCGCCCCCCCAACACACACACACAGACUACCAAGAAAACUGUUGAUCAGGCAAAAGAGAGACUUUAAACUUACUGCAGCUAGGUAGGGCAUUUUAAUAGAGUCAUCAGUGUCCCAACAGGAGAGUAUAGGGAAGGAUGUUUACAGGAUUUUUAGGCCUGAGCUGGGUGAUUUUAAGUCAAGUCCGGCAUGAAAGGGAACUGAUGUAGUUGGGCAAAAUCUUCAAGGACCCUUAAGGAGUAAUAUUUCAGACCUGAUAGAUAAGCUCUUUUAAUUGGCUCAGUCUCAUCUUCCAUGUGCAUGUAUUUUCUGGUGCGUCUGGUUAACUACAAACACAGGAAAGUAUUUCUGGUCCCAGUAUUGUUUAACAGUGAAUCAUUGGUUUCCAUUCUCAUUAGCAUUAAAAGACAGUUUUCAGAAAAGUGUAGAAUCAUGACUCUCACUGAUACAAGAAUAAACAUGUGUGAAAAGAUUGUAUUUUACUCAUUUAAUGAGAGAACCAGGUAGAUGUUAUAACCAGUUCUAAAGAGAAAGAGAAAAAGAACAAAUAUGUAUCGAGUAAAGAAAGUAAAUUGCAUGUGGAGACAAAACUGUUUUUUCCACCAGAGGGAGAGCAGUCAAUUAAAACUCUACUGAGCAGGACAAAAUUUGCCUGUCUAUCCAGUCAUAAAAUAGCUUAAAGAAAAUAAAAAGCUAGAAUCUUGUAACCAAGAAGGAUGGGCCAAAUAGAUACAAUGUAUACUUUUCUAUAGAAACAGAGCUUUUUCUAUAUUGGUAUGCUUUUAAAAAAAUUUAUUUUUUAUAUAUUUUUUAUUCUGUGUUUCAUUUGUAGAGAUGGGGUUUAGCUAUGUUGCCCAGGCUGGUCUUGAAUUCCUGGACUCAAGCCGUCUUCCUGCCUCGGCCUUCCAAAGUGCUGGGAUUACAAGCGUGAGCCACCAUGCCCAACCUACAUGAAUAUCCUUUAAGAUUGGAUCCAUUUCUUUACUGGCCAUACCAGCUCUGCAGGGAGCCACUUCUUGCUAAAAAGCCCCGAACCACCACUUGUUCUUCAUGGCCCAUGACAGAAACUUUCUUCACAAAUGUUGUUCUGGCUGUUGACCAUGCUUAGACAGCUCUUACUGCAGGUGUGAAUCAUUUGGAAGCUUUUUCUCUCAUGUCCUGGGAAGAUUCAAAUAUCUGGAGGCUGCAACAGCUGGGAUACCUAAAGAAUCUCUCCAUGUGGUCUCUCCAGCAUGGUGUCUUCAGGGUAGCUUAUUUUUUUAUAUGGAAGCUCCAAUCUGCCACUGUAUGUGUCCUGAGAAAGAGCCACAAAGAAGCCAUAUAACCUUCUAUGACCCAACACCUUAUAAUUCAGCAGUGCUGCUUCCAUUGCAUCCUAUUAUUCAGAAGAACUGAGUUGUUCAAUGCCAUAUUCAAGAGAGAAAAACUAAACUCUGCUUUCUGAUGGCUAUUGCUCUAGUGUGAAUGUUAUUGCCACUCCAAAAUUGAUGUGUUGGACACCUAAUCCUCAGUGCAACAGUGUUGGCAGGCGGUGCCUGAUGCAAGGUAUUUAGGCAAUGAGGGCUCUGCCCUCAAGGGUUGACUAAUUCCAUUAUGAAAACGGCCUGUGGAGGUGGGUUUCCUCUCUUCUGCUCUUCUGCCAUGUGAGAACGUAGCAUUUCUUUUCUCUGGAGGAUGCAACAAUCAAGGCACCAUCUUGGAAGUAGGAUACAGCCCUCACCAAAUAACUGAACCUGCUGAUGCCUUGAUCUUGGACAUCCCAGCCUCCAGAACUAUGAGACAUAAAUUUCUAUUUUUUAAAAAUAAAUUACCUAGUCUCAGGCAUUCUGUUGUAACAGCACAAAGAGGACUAACACAACUGGAAUGUCAGAGAAUUAUGGACAUAUUUUAAAAUCUCCUCAAAGACUCAUUUCAUCAUGGGAAAUUCAUUUCUUUAAUGAGAUUUUACAGAGUCUUAUAUCCAAAAUAGAAUAAUUGCUGGUAGUAUAAAGAGCUUCAUUCGUGAUCAGUUCCUUAUAUAACUAGAAAUUGGCACACAAAUCCAUAAAAAAUUAAGCACUGGGAACAUUAGGAGUAGAAAAAAAUAAAUAUCUGCAAAGAGGGACAGGAAAGACUUGCCAGAGCAUAACAAAAGAAAUAGGUGUCCGAUGAAGAAAGAGCUGCCAAAAGGCAAAAUAAAUGGCAGGUCAGCGUGGCAUUCCUGAGCUGCAGCUUCUGUUGUGCCACCAGCCUUCAGUGUGACUUUGGUUGACAGGCCACUUCCCCUCUGGGACCUCUGUGUCCUCAUUUGGAAAGUACAAUAUUGAACUAGAUAAUUUCAAAGGCACCUUAUGGCUCUGAUAUUCUGCAAUCCCAUUAUUAUUACUUUAAAUGCUGAAGCAUUUCCUUAAUAGGGAAGAAAUUAAAUGUCUUAACCCUUGGCUAUUAAUAUCAUCUGUUCCUACAUUUAAUGGGUUGAGAUGAGUCACAGAGGAUGAAAGACACUAUAGCUAAGGAUGUCAGCAGAGGUGACAGCCACUUCUACCUCAGGUGACCAUGGGAAGCAACAGCUGGCAUAUUUUAUACAAUUCAGAUGAGACAGGGAAGAACAAAUGACACCUUUGGGCCUUCAUUGGAAAAAAGUAGUCUAAAAGCAUCAACUGCUAUCCUUUGAUGCUCAGAUACUGCCUCCUAGUUAAUGAAGGCAAAAGUAUAAUUUAAGAGCAGUGGUUAAUGCUUUGACAAAGAAAAGGCGGCCCUGAAGACUUGAUAACCUUUCGUUCUUGUCCCUGAAGAAUUUUUGGAUAUGUUAUGUGCAAAAAACAUUUUUGCAUUUGAUUUAAAAACUAUGCAUUGUCUAUCAUACAUGCUUCUGGGCAGUGGGUUCCAGAGCCUGUUCAUUGUCUUUGAGCUAUUUUGCACCUGUUUUUCAAAUGCAGGUAACUGAUGGAUAUGCAAACUGUGUCUUAUCCAGCAGCAUUUCCAUUGGCUUCCCUCCCCACUGUGGAAAAAGUCUUUUUCCCUCCAUUUGUAAUUCGAUUUCUUGACUCUAUAUGUUUGUGCUUUUUGACAUUUACUUUGAACUAGUUCCUUUAUAUGAGUUAAAUAAAAUCUUUAACAUAUGUUUCA